AAUAANGGUUCCUUUCAACAAUAUUGCCUUGAAGAAACGGGUCCAGCAGUGUGUAAUGAUAUGGCAUCACGGUAUUAUGCGGAAUCAAUUAAUUCCAAAAAGUUUUUUUGUGGGAUAUCUUUAGAUAAAAAGAAAUAUGCUAUAAUGGGAGAAAAUACUCCAGAUGGGACGACUGGAAUUUAUCUUGUAAAAACUAAUAAUACUGCACCAUAUGCUAUGGAUUCUACUUGUAAUUCAACAAAAUGAACUAUAUAAUUAUGUAAUAUUUAAACAAAUAAAUAUAUUUUGUUUUGA